CUGAAGAACACGUACGAUUUCCGUCACAAAUUUCCGUCAAACUUCAGCUGAAGAACAGAUUUUCAGCUAAAUAACUGAAGAACAAUACGCUUUCUCUGAAGAAGAACUGAAGAACACCAUUUUCAUCUUGCAGAUUCCUUGUUGAAGAUUGAAGAGCGGAAGAACACGAUUUCCUCACAGAUUCCUUGUUGAAGAGUUGUUCCAUCAGAUUUCUUGUUGAAAAUUGAACAAAAUGCUUCACAGAUGAACUUGCCUCACGUCUUAAAGAUUUAGGGUUGUUGGAAUAGAGUUUAUCAGCUGAAGUUCUCUGAAGAACUGAGCUGAAGCUAAGUCGUCUUUCUCUGAAAACUAAAAAGCUGAAGCUGGCGAUAACUACGAUUCUCGUCUCCCUAAUACAGAUUUCGUCAAGAAAGAGGAGAAUAAGAAUGAAUU